GUUCCGCUCUCCUGGCUUCCCCGUACAGCUGCGCCUGCGCGCGCGCGGCCCCAUGGCGCCGUGACAACGAGCCGCCAGCCUGUGAGGGAAGGCCACGUCAGAGAAUUCUACAGGUUCACUUCUCUGGGUGAAGAUGUGUCACCUGAUCUCAGUUUUAAAUGACCUGCCCCAUAUCCUGAAACUGAAGGAGGUUUCAGAGGUCAAGAAGACACUCCAUCAUUAUGAAGUGCUUUGAGAGGUUAGUACUGGCACACAUCAACUCCAGCCUCCCAAAAAUGCCUUGUUCAGCUACAAUUCACCGACUGUCACAACAAAUCCAUGGCAGAUAGCAUCGCUGCGGACCUACAUUAAUUCCUGGAACUUGUGGAUAAUAAGGACGCCUAUGCAAGACUCCUAUUUAUUGAUUUAACUCUGCCUUCAACACCAUUAUUCCAACUGAGCUCAGAGACCAACAACUCCGUUCCACCUCUCCAACAGGAUCCUUGACAUGUUCACCCACACACCGCACUCCAGGAGAAGCAAUAACCUGGCCUUCACAGUAAUUCUCAACACAGGCCCCCUGAAAAGCUGUGUAUUCAGCCCCUUACGCUACACCUAUACGCUCACAACUGUGUGGCCACAUUCAGUCCUAACUCCCUUUACAAAUUUGUUGCUAACACUACCUUGGUGGCUCAGAUCUCAAAUGAGGCAGAGCACAGGAAAGACACAGACAGCUUAGAAGCAUGGUGUAAACAACAAUCUCUCCUUUAAUAUCAGCAGCAUUGAGGAGCUGGUCAUCAAUUUAAGGAAGCUGAGUGGAGGAUGUGCCCUGCUUGUAUCUAUGGUGCUGAGGUGGAGGUGGUUGAGAGCUUUAAAUUCCUUGCGUGAAUAUCACCAACAAUUUCCAUCCAUGGUGGCACGGUGGCUCAAUGGUUAGCACCGCAGCUUCACAGCGCCAGGGACCUGGGUUCAAUUCCAGUCUCGGGUGACUGUCUGUGUGGAGUUUGCACAUUCUCCCCGUGUCUACGUGAGUUUCCUCCGGGUGCUCCGGUUUCCUUCCGCAGUCCAAAGAUGUGCAGGCUAGGUGGAUUGGCCAUAUAGGACAGAGGUGGUUUCUUUAUUUGCCAACUUUAGGUACAUUUAAGUCGUCAUUGGAUAAGCAUAUGGACUUACAUGGAAUAGUGUAGGUUAGAUGGGCUUGAGAUUGAUACGACAGGUCGGCACAUCAUCGAGGGCGAAGGGCCUGUACUGUGCUGUAAUGUUCGAUAAUAUAAAUUGCCUGUAGUGUUCAGGGAUGUGUUGGUUAUAAGGGGGUGGGUUAUAAGGGGAUAGCUCUGGGUGGGAUGCUGCAAGGGGUGGUGUGAACUUGUUGGGCUGAAGGGUCUGUUUCCACACUGUAGAGAAUCUAAAAAAAAAUCAGUGCUACAGUCAGGAAAGCACAACACAUCUCUGCUUCCUCAGAAAUCUAAGGAAAUUGGGCAUGUCCACAAUGGCUGUUACCAAUUUUUAUAGAAAGCAUCCUAUCCGGAUGUGUAAGAUAAUAAAAUGUGAGGCUGGAUGAACACAGCAGGCCAAGCAGCAUCU